rnacentral:misc_RNA from 1 species
UUGUGGAGAUAAUUUGUUAUGGUGGGUGUAUUUAAACUUUAUCAGAGUAUUUUUUAAAUUGUCAUUAUACAACAACCAACGAUUAUUUAACAAAAGAGUGAUAUUCGUUAAGUAUAAUUUCCUUCGACCAGAUUAAUACAAUCAUAACAAAAUGUUGAUGAACGUUGCUGACGUACUCUCGUUCACUGGUUUACUGCCCAUCGUUAUGCUUCGUCCUUGUUAUGCGCAUUUUUGAUAAAAAAAUUGUAUCAGGAGAGGUUCUGGAAUUACAGUUUUAUAUGUGAUAAACUUGGGAAUACUUUUUUUCAUCCAGGUAUUUGACCUAAACAAAAUGUGUAUAUUUCCUCUUGAAGGCCUUGUUGUUAAGUGGCUUUACAAUAUCUACCAAGGACCAUGGAAAUGAUUAAUGGUAGUGUGUAAUAAUUUUAAUGUUAUGAAGUGCUUUUCCUGAAUGUAUCAUUUCUUUCACACUAGUAAACCUUCCUGGAUUACUUUGGGCUUCAAAGAAGAGCUAUGAAAAUGUUCUUUUCUUCCCUGGAAAUAAGAUAAUAAUCAUAGUGGGGAGUCAAUUGCUGAAGAAGAAGUUUGACGUGUAAUUGGUUCCUUUUUGAAUGCAUAAGAAGUUACAGAAUUAGAGGAUACACCUUGGAAUGCAUUUUCCCCUUACCAAUGCCAAGUAAUGUUUCGUCCAGCAGUUCAGCCUACACACAGAUGGUGCAUUUCUUUUGAAGACUUUAUUACCGAGAGAUGGACUGUAAAUGAGAAGGAGAGAGAACAAUGGAGUUGAUUUUGAUGUUGUGCAGCAACCAGUAUCUACAAUGGUAUUGUCGCUUUUUCUGGACUUGGUAUUCUAUUAUCAUCUUCAUCUUGUGCAUGAACAACUGGAAAUUUAUUUCAAAAUCACUAAACUUGUGGCCAUUCUUCCUGGGUUUGGUUUACUCUUCACAUUUGUAAAGUGUCGAAACGUUGCCCGCUACUGUUAUUUAAGAUUGUCCAACAAGUGAGAAACAAAUAAGUUCAGUUUGGUUGUGCUUAAAUAACUGAUGUCUACAUGGACAGCAUUAUGCAGUUAAUUUUGGGCUGAUGAGAUAGAACAACUGGAAAUUUAUUUGGAAACCAAACAUGUCAUUGUUCGUGGAUUUGACUUGCUCUUCACACUUCUAAAACUCUGGAACGUUGCAUUCUUCAUUUAAUUAAGAUUGUUCAACAAAUGGGAAAGAAUUAAAGGUCAGUUUGGUCCUAUUGAAACAACCAAUGUCUACAUGGGCAUCAUCUUUCCUGGAUUGUUCUCUUGAUCAGCUGUUUACAUUUUUGCAUUGCAACAUAUGAAGUUAAUUUGAAUUCCACUGAAAUUGCAAAUUUUCUGCUACCCUAUUCCUCCUGGAGUGGGUUUGCUUUUCACACCUGUAAACUUUGGAACAUUACAGUCUACAGUUAAUUAAGAUCGACGCUGGAGAAGACAAAGAUGACCC